rnacentral:lncRNA from 1 species
UGGGGCCUACUUAAUUGUAGAUGCACAGUAAGUUGCUGAUAGAUGAAUGGCAAAUACAUAAGAAACAGCAUAAAAAUUAAAGCACAGUCUCUGUUUUUAAUGGAUUAUAUACUCACUUAUUAAAUAUUCAAUAUGGUGACAAAAGUUUUAAAGCUAAAACAAAAUCGGGCCACUGAAUCUUUAACUUCUACAAUUUCCUUUAUUUACACACACCUCAAAGGGUUAUUGGAACAAUUAAAUGACUCAGUGCUAUGAAACCCUGAGCCUGGUUUAUAACCUUUAGGAGACUUAGCUGUUACUGUGUGUCUUACAUACCUCAAGGGAGUUUCUAAGCAUUCAAGAUCUGUGAAAAGUGUGAAAUGCUAAAUAAGUGUAAUGGAAAGGUAAAUCCUCACCAUGGCAAGCAUUGAGAACAAAUGUCUAAAUUGAUUAUGAAAGCAAGUACUGUUCGGUAAAAAGUGCACGGAUUUUAACCAACAUGAAAUUUGUUUCUCUAAUGCAAUGCAUUAGAGAAAUUGCGUGGACUGACUCCAUUUUUAGAUAAACAGGAAGUACUCUCAGGGUUGCCUUAUUCUGCAUAGUGUUGUCUUUAUUUUUGACUACAGAAAGCUGGCUUAAGACAUCUUUCACAAGCAUGACUUUGGAGGUCCACUUUCAUUCAAGAAUUCAAGUCUAAAACUCGAAGUGCAGAGAGCUGGAGAGACGCGCAAGCACCGACCGGUCACCGCUCCAAUUACCUCAUCGCUCCAACUCCCCGCCCCUCUCAAACCUGGAAGGAGCAGCCCCCCUUCUCUCCAGGGUCAUCGUCCCCCCACCCCCAGUGGUGCUCCCAUCUCUUCGGUCAGUAUCCCAGAUCCUCUCUGGGGGCGCGGCGCCGGCCUCCCUACCCCGGCCACGCGCACCCAAGGGUUAAGGGCGCGGGCAGCCGUGCGCUCGCCUAGCUCCGUGCGGCUCGCCGGGCCGCCUGCCAGAGGGUGCCCCCCCCCCCACGAAGUCGGAUCCUUGAGCUGCGGCGGCGGCAGCCAACUGCUCCAUAUUUGGCUUCUAUUACACAUUUACAUACUGGAGCGAGCGAGCGAGCGAGCGCGAGAGAGCGCGAGGGAGGGCGGGCGGGCGGGCGGAGGGAGGAGGGCGGGGAGGGGAGCGGGAGGAGGGGGAGGAGAGAGCGGAGUAUACCGCAGACAUCAUUUCUACUACAGUGGCGGAGCCGUACAGGACCUGUUUCACUGCAGGGGGAUCCAAAAACAAGCCCUGUGGAGCAGCAGCCAGACCAACAGCAGCCGCAAGACACUGUUUCUCUCCCUCUAUCCCCCCUUCCCCACGCAACCCCAGAUCCAUUUACACUUUACAUUUGAUACUUAGGCAUUUUGGGGGAAAGAAGAUUAUGCCCAAGGAAGCCACCAGAGAGAAGAGAAAAUCCUGCACAUGAACUCUUGGAAAGGGAUUGCACCGCAGCAACUGAUGCUGAGGAAUUUAAUCUCCUCUGAUCGCCCUCUAACCGUGCGUGCACCACUCAGUGUUUCCGCAGCUCCGCAAAUAAAUGGGUUUGAAUGACACCUUCCACAUAAAGCAGAGGUUGAAGGGUUCCCCUGGACCUUCUGCCCGCCUGUCUUUCUCAUCAUGCGGAUAGUGUCAGUGGUGUAGGUUUUCCGGGCACUUACUCCAACCCUGAUCACUCCUGUAAUUAGAUCAGGCUGCCAUGGCAACAGACAGUGUUCUCCCUCCAUUCAGGUGGGUUUGCCUGAACUACUCCAAGUGUUUUAUGUACAGUAUUUGUGCUGCCCAGGCCAGACUUCACUAUUUCAAUUGCAUCUUCUUUCAGUCAUUUGGAUGGGAGGCACUGAAUGAGGCUUCUAGCUACUCAACUUUUAUAGAAGACCAACAAGCUGUUCUCACUGGGUACAGUAUGUAAAUGCAUCUCCCCAGACAGUGAAAGGAGCCUGACAAUCCUGCUGGUGUUUAUUGUGCACAGAUCAACAAGUAUUUGGUACUUGUUAGAAACCUUUCAGAGCUUACUAAAGCAACAUUUCUUUUGCGGUCUGGUGCCUUUUGGCCUUGCAGGCACUUAACCCUUUGCAGGGUGAAGAGAAGCCCUUCCUUUAGGGCUGACAUUCUUGCUCGUGAUGACUGGCUUUCUAAAAGCUUUGCUCAUAGGAAGUAACUUUCUUGGAAAGUCUAUACCUAUGAACACAUUUUAAAACUUCACAGCCAUCAUUACAAAAGCUGGUACUGACCGUAAGCAGACAUUCUGAAUGUAUUCUUCAUUUAAAUCUGUUGGCCAGGAUCUCUAGCGAUUGUCAGUAAUAAUUCAAAAUAUUUAUUUUCUCAGUUGGGUGAGAGAGAAUACAAGCCUGUAGCCAGUAGACUGAUCAUGCGUGGUGCUUUUGCUCAACAACAACCUGUGCUCCAUUUUAGGUUAUAAUUUAAGGAACACUUCCAGAGCAACCGCCUCAUCUUUGUAUCAGGGCACCCCCUCAUGAAAGAAGCCUGCUAGGCCAAGGAACAGGAUACUACAGCAAAAAAGAAAACAGGAGAAUGUCUUGAGUUGCUAGAGCUCUGUGUUGCACAGGUAGUCCAAAUAAGGAGUAUUUUUGUAACUGUGAUAUUUGAAACAGUCAUUGAAAGUGAUAGUGUCAUGAUUUAAUUGUCACCAUGCCCAUCGGUUUAUAGCUUUAUGGCUGCCUAGGUAAACGGUUGUUGUUUCUCCCCCCAGGAGCCAGGCUUGAGUGAGCCACUCACCUCUUAGCACAGCGGGUUGAUAAGUUUCUAGGUCUUGUCAGUGAGUGCACUGGUAAAGUCAUUGUGGCCUGGUCAUAUGAAGUGUUGCUGCGGUUAAAAUGAGCUAUUAUUUCUGGGAGGUAAAUAUGCUGGGAGCAGGGAAGUCAAAUAGGGCACAGGAGCAUAAGUUUUAUACAAUGCCUCGGAGACCCUGGGUUUUAUUUUGCAAAACACAGAAAGUUAUUUUAUUGGCAAUAAAAGGUGGACAUGUAUUUUCCAGUGCACAAAUAAAUCCGUGCUCAAAUGAGUAUGAAAAAUGUUCUUGAGUGAAAACUAUAACAGACAAUAUUUUCCUCUCUAUAUUUUGUUUUAAGAGGGUUUGGUAAACAGAGGUGGUACUGUGUUGGAAAUAUUAUAAGGAAGCUUCAGUCCUCUAAGUAUCUUUUGGAAAAUGAUUUAAAAAAAAAAAACUCUUUAGCCAUCAGAUUAUAUGUCAAAUGCCUGAAAACAGCCCUAAGUUAGAGCUACCUUAUAUCUGAGAGUCCUGAGAAAGAGCGGCAUUAAGAGAUUAUUAAAAUGUUAGGAAACAUUUCUACGGCUCCUGUUUUUGUUGUUACAGAGUUCAAGGACAUACAUUCCUUCCGUAUAAUGUGCCUUUAUUUUUUUUCCCUUCAAAAAUGUCAAGUGGAUUUUGCUUGUGCACAUGCAUUGAGUGACAGUUUCUGAUGACUAACACUGUAACACCUACUCACUGUGUUUCCUAUUAGGAAUUAGUCAAUAAAUGUGUUUUACUAAAGCCCUGAAACUCAUGGAAGUGGGUGAAUGUGGGGUGAAUAUUACUUCUUUAAACUAAAGUUAUCCAAAAAUAACACAUAGCCGAGACUCUACAAAGCUUAAAUACUUGCAUAGGUACAGUGACAUAAUGGAGUGACACACGUUAUUACUUUUGGAGGGGAGAAAUGGACUUACACUGCUUUGUAUUUUUAGUGUAAUGGAAUCAUAUGAGUGGCUUCCAUAGGAGAUUUAGAUCUCUGUAGUUUAAUUGCUUCAAAUAGUGGAUUUAGUUCUGGUCAUAUUUCAGAGGGCAACAGAAGCAAACCCUCCUUAUUUUUUUCAAAUGCAUGAAAACAAGAAAUUGUAGAAAACCCCGGCAGCAAGAACUUCUGUUCUAGAGCUUAUAUAAAGUACCUCGUUUGCUUUUAAGAUUUGAAUGUUUGAGAUAUGAAUUUAUACUGUUCCCAUUUUAGUUUCAUUUAAUGUUGUUUAAUGAAAUAAGUAUACUCGUAUACAUUUUCUUUAAGACUUAGUGAAAUAAUCAGUGUAUACAGUGUUAAUGUUGCAACAUUGUAAAAAUGCUGGCCAAAAGAAGUGUAAUGGGAUGGAGGUUUUAAAGCCAUGUAUCAAUCUUUAAAAUUUCAUAAGUAAUAAAAAGAAUAUUGUGUUGGUAAAUUACCUUUAUUUGUGGAAACUUUUUAUUUUUAUUGUAUAAUUAUAUUUAUGUGUUAUCUUUAUCAUUGUAGAGAUAGGUUUUAUAAUCCUCAUAAAUUUGAACCUUUCAGGCUAAUGUGCUAUCAAUGGUCAUACUACACAUUACUACUACCUCACGUAUACUAAAAUAUGCUUAGAAUUAUUACAGGCAGAAGGGCA